rnacentral:tRNA from 1 species
AGUAUUGUGCCGGAAUUAAACGGAUAACCUUGAUGAUGUUAAAUAUGACCCUUUGUCCAAUACUU